rnacentral:rRNA from 1 species
CACGUAGGCACCAAGCGUUGUCCGGAUUUAUUGGGCGUAAAGAGCUCGUAGGCGGUUCGGUAAGUCGGGUGUGAAAACUCUGGGCUCAACCCAGAGCCGCCACCCGAUACUGCUGUGACUUGAGUUCGGUAGGGGAGCGGGGAAUUUCUGGUGUAGCGGUGAAAUGCGCAGAUAUCAGGAGGAACACCAGUGGCGAAGGCGCCGCUCUGGGCCGAGACUGACGCUGAGGAGCGAAAGCGUGGGUAGCAAACAGG